CAAGUCUAUUUAAUUUCCAAUGCUUAUAUAAAGCCAGUACAAGAAGAGUUUAGAAUUGUUGACAAUCAAUUUGAAUGGAGCAUCAACACUUCUACAUCAAUUGAGGAAAUAACUGAAGAAAACUAAUGGAACUUUGAAGAUCUCUACAACUUGUAUUAUCUUGAUCAACUAGAUGCCUACAUUGAUACAAAAACUUCUGUUGAUAUUGUUGCAGUUGUAUUAAGUGCUGAUCCACACAAGGCCUGGACCUGCAAAUAUUCAAGAAUUCCUCCUUGUUGAUCAAAGCUUGCAACCAAAAAUUUUAACUAUGUGGGACGAACUAAUUGAGACCAUUGGAAAAGCAAUAUGUGAAAUUCUUCCACAAAAUCCUAUUAUAAUAGGAACACACCUGAAAAUUGUUUCACACAAUGGUUAGAUUUAU